GCCAGCCAGAGGCUUCGGCUUACACCACCGCUCCGAAGAAGACAACAGAUCGUCACGCUGCCGCCAUCGCCCACGACGCCCGGAACUUCGCUACUCCACGACGCUACCGACUUAGAAGAAUCCGCACCCGGGGCAGAAGGGAUCGCUGCUCCGCCACGAGAGACAGUCACCCUGCAUCCAGAGGUCCCAAUCGGACUCUGCCUGCGGCGGCCGUGCCGUCACCUGAGUCUAUCACCUCCGUCCGAAGCCGAGGUGGGACUUAGCCGAAUUCCAACAAGGCCACACCGUCAGCCAUUUGCUGUUAACCGACUUUUGCUACUGAAGCAAACGGCGACGUAUAAAUAUCAAGUUUGCAUGUUUCUCGUGUGUUGUGUUAUAACCAAUAAAAGCGUCUUGUACACGAAA